UACAGAGGGUGCGAGCGUUAUCCGGAAUUAUUGGGCGUAAAGCGUCCGCAGGUGGACAUACAAGUCUGCUGUCAAAGUGCAGAGCUUAACUCUGUAAAGGCGGUGGAAACUGUAGGUCUUGAGUACGGUAGGGGUAGAGGGAAUUCCCGGUGUAGCGGUGAAAUGCGUAGAUAUCGAGAGGAACACCUGCGGCGAAGGCGGGUUGCUGGGCUGACACUGACGCUGAGGCGCGAAAGCCAGGGGAGCGAACGGG
rnacentral:rRNA from 1 species